rnacentral:rRNA from 1 species
UACGGAGGGGGCUAGCGUUGUUCGGAAUUACUGGGCGUAAAGCGCACGUAGGCGGCUUUGUAAGUUAGAGGUGAAAGCCCGGGGCUCAACUCCGGAAUUGCCUUUUAGACUGCAUCGCUUGAAUCAUGGAGAGGUCAGUGGAAUUCCGAGUGUAGAGGUGAAAUUCGUAGAUAUUCGGAAGAACACCAGUGGCGAAGGCGGCUGACUGGACAUGUAUUGACGCUGAGGUGCGAAAGCGUGGGGAGCGAACAGG